UCCCUGAUGGUCCAGUGGUUAGGACUUGGCAGUUUCACUGCUGGGGCCGAGGUUCAAUCCCUGGUCAGGGAA
rfam:Ovis aries breed Texel chromosome 8, whole genome shotgun sequence.